rnacentral:rRNA from 1 species
UACAGAGGGUGCGAGCGUUGUCCGGAAUCACUGGGCGUAAAGGGCGCGUAGGCGGCGGAGUAAGCGUGCGGUGAAAGCUCGGGGCUCAACCCCGAGUCGGCCGUGCGAACUGCUCUCGCUCGAGCAUUGUAGAGGUCGAUGGAAUUCCGGGUGUAGCGGUGGAAUGCGUAGAGAUCCGGAAGAACACCGGUGGCGAAGGCGGUCGACUGGGCAAUGGCUGACGCUGAGGCGCGACAGCGUGGGGAGCAAACAGG